UAAUGAACCAAGCCCCCUUGAUUGCUGAUUUUACGCUUUCUGGACCAAUUGUGGGCCUCCAUAGGCGUGGUUUUGACAGCUCCGGCCAGGCUCAAGUAGAGGGGGUGGACAAGAAGGUGUCGGAAGCAUUAGCAGUAAGAAAACAUGUCAACAGAAUAAAAUAUUAACCAAUGACAGAAAAGAUCGGGAAAUCCCACCCCCCGUCUCCACGCCAAGCACCGGGUCAGCCCUCAGUGCUUAGCCGGUGGUGACUGCACCUCGGUCGGCUUACGCUUUAUAAUUACGAUCCCUCCUUGUUCGAGGAACAAACUCACUCUUCGAUACACUGAAAACUAGGAAUUAAGAUUAUUCACGUGUAAAUUAACAAAGGUGCGAAUUGUUAUGAAUAAUAAGCGCAAAAUAUUAUAUUGCUUUCCACAUUUUAAAACAUAAAUUGAGGAUAACUAUUCGCAAUAUAGUCACUAAAAAUAUCAGGAACACUCCAAAUGACGUUUAUCUUUUCGCUAUUCAUGUCAAAAUGACGCGUACGAGUAUUUUGUUCAUAAUGUAGCACUGCACACUCAUAUCCAAAGGACCUUGUUGUGCGUAUGAAUUGAAUUCAACGUUUCACUGUGUGAAUAACUAUUUCCGUGCUGCUUGCGCGUGUCCCGACCGACUUCAUGUGAGGAACAGCAGCCAAAAAUCGGACAUUGGCACUUUAAAUUCUGCCCCGGGUCAUUCAAAGCGCACAGCCACGCUCAAUGCUGAAGAAAGGAGGAAGAGAGUUGAUGGAAUCUAAAGACCAAUGUAAAGAUAAUUUUGGAUGUCGCUCCAGUGAUAAAGUGGCACUGGUGAUCUGGAAGGAGACGGAGAGAAACGAGGGCUGACCUUCCCAGAUGGAGAGUGUGAGCUCUGCCACUGUCCUCCACACCAACUAGAUGACUGCUUCACGUCGCCUUUGAGACACUGUGUGCAGCAUUACUGUAUAAGGGUGAUUGUGUGUGUGUGUAAGGUGGAAGUGUUGCUGGUGAGGAUGGAAGAGUGAAAAAUAUUACCUUUUGCUUCUUUGCAUGCAACCACAUUACUGCUUGUCUGACUCUACACAAUAAAAAUCACUAUGAUAAUUUCUUUUUUGUGUGAUUUUGUCUGUGUACUGCAUCGGGUCAAGUUGCAUAAUAAAUUGACACUUUAUAUACA